rnacentral:lncRNA from 1 species
CUCUCCACGGCUCCUAAACAACAGAUACCCGACGGCGAGCCCCACGAUAAUGGCGACGAAGACGCCGCCGUUGAAGGACAUCACGGCGAGCAUGAGGAGGUACCCGAUGCCCGAGUUGAGGCCAAAGAGGACGGCGGAAGCGAGCCUCGCUGGAGCCCACGGCCGGCCGGCGGCAACGGAGAGGAGGAGGGGGGUUUCCACGGACAGCGGUGAUGACGGCUUGGAUCGGGCGAAAAUCUUGAGGCGGAUCCGACGGUCCUCCAUGUACUGGUAGAAGGCGGCGGCGAGGAAGAGGG